AAAUAGAUACCCGGGUAGUCCACGCCGUAAACGAUGAGUGCUAAGUGUUAAAGGGUUUCCGCCCUUUAGUGCUGAAGUUAACGCAUUAAGCACUCCGCCUGGGGAGUACGGCCGCAAGGCUGAAACUCAAAGGAAUUGACGGGGGCCCGCACAAGCGGUGGAGCAUGUGGUUUAAUUCGAAGCAACACGAAGAACCUUACCAGGUCUUGACAUCCUCUGACAACCCUAGAGAUAGGGCUUCUCCUUCGGGAGCAGAGUGACAGGUGGUGCAUGGUUGUCGUCAGCUCGUGUCGUGAGAUGUUGGGUUAAGUCCCGCAACGAGCGCAACCCUUGAUCUUAGUUGCCAUCAUUAAGUUGGGCACUCUAAGGUGACUGCCGGUGACAAACCGGAGGAAGGUGGGGAUGACGUCAAAUCAUCAUGCCCCUUAUGACCUGGGCUACACACGUGCUACAAUGGACGGUACAAAGAGCUGCAAGACCGCGAGGUGGAGCUAAUCUCAUAAAACCGUUCUCAGUUCGGAUUGUAGGCUGCAACUCCG
rnacentral:rRNA from 1 species